GAUUGUGCAAGAAUAUAAACCCCCCUAAAAUAAACAGUAUAAGGUGAAAAAUGUUUCCACGAUGUUUUAAAAUGAUGGCGUUUCCUCAGGAAAACCAAUUCUAAAGAUU